rnacentral:rRNA from 1 species
CCCUUAGAUUUUCUGGGCCGCACGCGCGCUACACUGACGAUGGCAACGAGUUUUUCCUUCGCCGAAAGGUGUGGGUAAUCUUUUGAAACAUCGUCGUGCUGGGGAUAGAUCAUUGCAAUUUUUGAUCUUGAACGAGGAAUUCCUAGUAAGCGCGAGUCAUCAGCUCGCGUUGAUUACGUCCCUGCCCUUUGUACACACCGCCCGUCGCUACUACCGAUUGAAUGGUUUAGUGAGGACUCCUGAUUGGCGCCGCCGCCCCGGCAACGGAGCAGCGGACUGCCGAAAAGUUGUUCAAACUUGAUCAUUUAGAGGAAGUAAAAGUCGUAACA